UACGAGAGGCGCAAACGUUAUUCGGAAUUACUGGGCUUAAAGAGUUCGUAGGCGGCGCGGAAAGUGGGGUGUGAAAGCCCUCGGCUCAACCGAGGAAUUGCGCUCCAAACUACCGUGCUUGAGGAAGCUAGAGGUGAGCGGAACUGAUGGUGGAGCGGUGAAAUGCGUUGAUAUCAUCAGGAACACCGGAGGCGAAGGCGGCUCACUGGGACUUUUCUGACGCUGAGGAACGAAAGCCAGGGGAGCGAACGGG
rnacentral:rRNA from 1 species